rnacentral:rRNA from 1 species
AUUGAACGCUGGCGGAAUGCUUUACACAUGCAAGUCGAACGGCAGCACGGACUUCGGUCUGGUGGCGAGUGGCGAACGGGUGAGUAAUGUAUCGGAACGUGCCCAGUCGUGGGGGAUAACGUAGUGAAAAUUACGCUAAUACCGCAUACGAUCUAUGGAUGAAAGCGGGGGAUCGCAAGACCUCGCGCGAUUGGAGCGGCCGAUAUCAGAUUAGGUAGUUGGUGGGGUAAAGGCCCACCAAGCCAACGAUCUGUAGCUGGUCUUAGAGGACGGCCCGCCACACUGGAACUGAGACACGGUCCAGACUCCUACGGGAGGCAGCAGUGGGGAAUUUUGGACAAUGGGCGAAAGCCUGAUCCAGCCAUUCCGCGUGCAGGAUGAAGGCCCUCGGGUUGUAAACUGCUUUUGUACAGAACGAAAAGGUUUCUACUAAUACUAGGAGCUCAUGACGGUACUGUAAGAAUAAGCACCGGCUAACUACGUGCCAGCCGCCGCGGUAA